CCGCUGCGGUGCGAGUCUUCCUGUUUGUUUUGAAUCGAAGGUCCUGCAGAACUGCCCGUAGGCCUUCACGUCCCCGUGCACGGAAGCGUUCUCGACCCCCUACAGAGGCUCUGCUUGCCCCUCAGCCAGCCGCGCCAGCCGCGCCGGUGGAGCUGCAGCCGGAGCGUGGCAGGAAAGGCCGGCCUGGCAGAUUCCUGAAGUCCUUUCCUGAACUGGGCGAGCGUCGGGGAUCAGGGCUGUCACACGCGUCAGGGCGUCUUGACUCACGAAGGCAGAGUGCAUUUGUCUCACCCUAGGCCGCAAAGGAUGUAAAGACCCCAAGUUCAAGACCCAGCGCCUUUAGAAAUGGUUAAAGAACAGAUAGGAAACCAUUCCCAGCCUCAUCACCCUUUGUAAAAGAAAAAGAAGUGUCUUCCUAAAAGGAAGUCUUCCUCUGAGAUCACCGCUCCAUGACUGUGGCAGGUACAGCGUUCUCUGUUGGCUCCUGAGAACCCUGCAGUCAGGCAGUCGGAAAGUCCCAAGAUCCGUCAGCCAGGCCUUCAGGCAAGCCUCACCCUGCCCU